UUUACUAUCUAUCUGCAUUUUCUCUGGUAUAUCUAGAACCACUUGCAACUGGAAAUAUACAUGUUUAGGAUAACUGGUUUCCAGAAUUGGGAACAAAAAGAGUACUGCCAAUACCAGGUUAGUUGUAGAGUCUAUUGCAGUGUUUUGAUUAGGCUUACCUGUAAUGUCCAGAAAUGCUGGAUAACAACAAUCUUCUGUUAUAUCAUAUUUAGUGUAGCUACAAGCUAUGGAUUUUUUGCCAUGGGGCAGAGAGAAUUUUGCUGUUUUAAAGCUCAGGGAUUCUUAAAAGAUGGGACAAUCAACUUUUUUCUACAAAUAUUUGUCUUAAUUUUAACUAAAUGUGAAGAUUAUAUUUUGACACACCAAAGUAUCAGCUAUUAACACCAUGUAAAGGAACAACCUCCUAUUUUUUCAUUAAAUGCAACUAAGUGGAUAUGGUCAAUUUCGUCAGACACCAUAAAAGGCAUUUCAUUUGUACAAUUAUUGUCCAACAAGUGUUUAAAGUCCUUGAUUUUUUUAUGCUAACAUUAGAUUAUUCAUAAAUGUGUAAUACACAUCUCCAAACAUUUUUGUUUUGUUUUAUUGCCAUAUUAAAUGCUCCAGGGCUAAUUUAGCUAGCAACCUGGCAUGGUUUUCUAGAUUUUGAACAUGAAAUAACAAUUAUAAAGCUAACAUUAUCCCUUAGGUCUAGCACAGCAAAUACAUUAAUUGUUGAAGCAUAUGUUUCAGAACAGUGAUUACAAUAUUUGUUCAGAAUAUUGACAACAACAAAACAUUUUUUAAGGUGGUUAGUUCCUCUGUAUAGAUGGGAGAACCUUCCAGAAGGACAACCAUCUCUGCAGCACUCCAUCAAUCAAGCCGUUAUGGUAGAGUGGCCAGACAGAAGCAACUUCUCAGUAAAAGGCACUUGACAGCCUUUGAGUUUUAGUUUUAGUUUUAGCCUUGGAGUUUGCCAAAAGGCACCUCAAGGACUCUCAGUUUAAGGGCACAGGGCGAGACCUAGAUGCAGACACGGGAGAAAGAUUUUUCGAGUCUCUGAUAUUUAUUAGUAUCCAAGGGGCAGGCAAGAUAUUGGUCAUGGACAGGCAAAAAGAUCAUAACAAGGUCAGAGUCCAGGAGGUACAGAGUGGCAGGCAGGCUCGAGGUCAGGGCAGGCAGUAUGGUCAGGGCAGGUGGGUUCACAGUCAGGUUAGGCAAGGGUCAAAACCGGGAGGACAAGCAAAACAGAGCUAAGAAAAAGCAGGGACACGGGUUAAUGAUAAGGGAAUUAUAUGCUUAAAGGUAAUGAUUAAAAUAUUCCACCCUGAAACCAUAUAAUUGUAUGAAAUGUAUUAGAAUCAUAAAACUAUAAUCUGAUGAUGGGUGUAAUUUUAGUCCGAAUUAGAACAAGGACCUUUUGCUCUUUUUUAGUAUGUAAGCAGGGUGCAAGUGGGAAUCAAAUGAUAAGAGAAGCUAUCGACAGACAAGUUGUACUACUGUGUUCCUUACAGGACAUUCUGUCUCAACCCGUGGAGGGGAGAAACUGUUAGGCUUGCAGAAAAUUAUGAAACAUGUUGCAGAUUAAAGAAACAAUGUGUCUGUAUAGUGGAAAAACACUGACUGUCUGAGCAAGGCGUAGUUUAAGAUUUGAACUUGUUUGUGUGUGUGUUAUAAAGACUGUGUUUGCAUUUUGAUUUCAGAACAUUCUCUGGAUAAACUGUACGGACCUUUUGCAUUAGCUGAGUCUUUGCCUAAUUAUUAUUAAACCCAGGGUCUUACAAAUCUCGGGGAUUGGGCAAAGCUUAUUGAUUGUUAGUUAUUAUCAUUUGGGAUUGAAAAUUCUCCUGACAGUUAAACACACUGGUUGACUUGACAAGGCGAACUGACACAGAGAGACGGGAAACACAGGGAUAAAUACACCAGGGAAAAUAAUAGACACCGGGAGGGGGUGGAGAAAAUCGCAAGGACAGGUGAAACACAUCAGGGCGUGACACUUAGACCAUGACAAAUAAGAUUCUCUGGUCUGAUGAAACCAAGAUUGAACUCUUUGGCCUGAAUGCUAAGUGUCAUGUCUGGAGGAAACCUGGCACAAUCCCUACGGUGAAUCAUGAUGAUGGUGGCAACAUUAUGCUGUGAGGAUGUUUUUCAGCGGCAGGGACUGGGACACUAGUCAGGAUCGAGGGAAAGCUUAACGGAGCAAAGUACAGUCCUUCUUUGGGCGGCAGAAUUGGCAUCUCCUCCUCUUGCCUGGCCCAGCUGCAGCCUCAGGUGGAUCAGUACAAGAUUCAGCCCCCUGAACAGCUGUCACAAGCUCUGCAGAGGCUGCUGUGCAGAGGAGCCACUCCCUUCUUUGAUUGUAUGGGUUACAAGUGCCUUUCCCAGCUGCUCCAGGAACACCCUCCUCUUGUUCCGCUUAUCAGGCAUCCAGGUAGGGUUGAUCUUGUUCCGUAUUACGAAGGCAAUGUAUGAGGACACAUCAAUGAUGUUAUGGAAAAUGACCAGGGGGCAGCAGGCAGUCAUCCUCUUGCAGCUGUAAGUUCCAAUCACCUUGUCCAGGUUGUCCAUGCCUCCUUUGUUGUGAUUGUAGUCCAGGAUGAUGGCUGGCUUCCUGUUCUCACGAUCACUGAUCUCAGCUGUUUUUUGCAGUGUGCUCAGGAGGACCACAUUCUUAGAGUGGUAGUGGGGGUGAAGGCAACCUUUGAUGAGAAGGCCUAUCUCCCCCUUAUUGCAAGGAUAGCAGGUGGAGCUCAGGCUUGUUCUUUCUAAUUGUGCCAACAACGGUGAUCUUCCUCUUCAUGAGCUGCUGCCUGAGUUCAUAAGAGAUUUCUCAGUUGUGUUGAAAGCACCAUCAAUCCAGAGAAUGCCAGAAUUUGAUGACAAAGUUUGAUGACAAAUUUUUCCCACGAAGGACCGCCGCUCCACCUUCCCGUUCAUGUGAGCACAUCACAAACAGGUCCUGAGGCAUCAAAGCAUCCCCAAUCCAUCACACUACCACCACCAUGCUUGACCGUUGGUAUGAUGUUCUUACUGUGGAAUGCAGUGUUUGGUUUUCGCCAGACAUAAUGGGACCCAUCCGUUGUAUAGGAAAUCAUGUCCAGUCCUAAUAGGCUGAAGAUUCUGUUAUGAAUAAAAGCAUUGUGUUGGUCUACCUGGAAACAGAGAGGCUAAUUACUUUGGACUUUUCAGACUAAUUUUAUUACUCCAAAAUGAAUGAAAAUAAAAGUAUCCUGACACCAUCUAAAAUAUAAUUUUCCCUUCUAGAAAUGAGCCCAAUACCAUAUCAGUCCAUAUUAUCAGGCAGGUGUGUUAUUUAGCAAUAAGCAUGAUAACCUGUUGCAUGGGGUUGCCCAUCUACAUUUACCCCAGUGUGCUAAUCAUUAGCUAGAUCAUGAACUCAAAACAUUAUCUUGU